rnacentral:misc_RNA from 1 species
UUUCCGUAGGUGAACCUGCGGAAGGAUCAUUAAUGAGUUGUCAUGGGGUUCGAUGCUGGCAGCCAAUUUUUGGAUGCAUGUGCUUGCCCUAACAAUCAUCUUCCAAACACCUGUGCACAUUUUUGAGGGAGUCUUGAGUUGGUUGCCGCUCUUGGGUGAUUUUCUCACAUUCCCUUAAACCAUUAUACGCUAUUAACAAUGUUGAACGUGCUCUGUGCCGCAGGGCUAUUAAUAUAAUACAACUUUUAACAACGGAUCUCUUGGCUCUCACAUCGAUGAAGAACGCAGC